rnacentral:tRNA from 1 species
GCACUCGUAGCUCAGUGGAUAGAGCAACCGCCUCCUAAGCGGUAGGUCGGAAGUUCAAGUCUUCUCGGGUGCGCCA